ensembl:lncRNA
UUUGUGCUCGCUCGUGAACUUGUCUUGACCUGCUCCAAACUCAGCUUGUGGAAAGAUAACUUUUGGAGAAUAUUUCUACAGAAAGCGGAAUUUACUAGAAAGCGACAGUACAAACGACUCGAAGAAGUCGUUUGUACUGUCGCUUUAUGACGUGUUUCGUCAUAACAGCAAAGCUGGCUCGCUCGUCGUGGAUCCGGACUCAUUGAAAGUCACCUGGCUGGUACGUUUCAAAGAUUCUUCAAUUAUUUUAAGAGUCACUAGACAACUAUAAUAAUUUAACAAGUUCCAGUGUGAAUAUCAAAUUUUAAUGUGAUCAAAAUAUGUGUAUUCCAAGAUUUUUCCCGGUAAAUUGCUUGUAUGCUUUAAAUUUUGCGGGACAGCUGUAGAAUUUAUUAACGAGUGGCGUAUGAAUGUGAAAAAAGAUGUUACUUUGAUUGAAGGCUUCAAAUUUGACACUGCCCCCCAAUAAAAUGGUUAAACUAGCUUAACGGACAAAGAUUAGUAAAAUACUCCCCAAAAAAAGAAUAAAAAUAAAAUCAGUUUCUAUGGUAACAGCAUUUCGUCACAAUGAUAGAACAUAAAGGUGAACACACCAGAUCCCCUGUAGCUCCUACCAUCAUUUUCUUCUCUGGAUCAAAAGCUUCAUUAGGUAAACUAUAACGUUUUUUCCCAGCUACAUAACGCAGUGAUAAAAAAAAAAAUCAAAAUAAAAUAAUAUAAAAAUAAUAUUGAAAACAUUAAGCAUAGUCAAAAUAAUCAUGAAAUCAAACCUUUAUGUGUGUGUUUUAUUUUGUGUUUUAUUUUAAAAAUAUGUGCUUGGAGUUCCACUGCCUUUGUUUGUAUUGGGAACAUUUAGGACAUGAAAUUGGUACAUUAAACCUCUGAUGCUGUUUCAAAAUGUGUUACAUUGUUAAUGAAAGAAUUGUAAUAAAUAAAUAAGAGAAUGAGCUGCCUAGUUAGUUAUACAUUUCCUGUAGUAUAUUUAUGUAACAAGCUAUUUAUGUCCAGUUAUUUAAAAAUGAGUACCUAUUAUCCAUUACCUACUCCAACGUAGUGUUUGCAUAAAGGUUUAAAAGGGACAAAUAAAACAAAAUGAAUGUAUAUAAAAUAAAAUAGUGUUACC